GAAUGGAUUAAGAGCUUGCUCUUAUGAAGUUAGCGGCGGACGGGUGAGUAACACGUGGGUAACCUGCCCAUAAGACUGGGAUAACUCCGGGAAACCGGGGCUAAUACCGGAUAACAUUUUGAACCGCAUGGUUCGAAAUUGAAAGGCGGCUUCGGCUGUCACUUAUGGAUGGACCCGCGUCGCAUUAGCUAGUUGGUGAGGUAACGGCUCACCAAGGCAACGAUGCGUAGCCGACCUGAGAGGGUGAUCGGCCACACUGGGACUGAGACACGGCCCAGACUCCUACGGGAGGCAGCAGUAGGGAAUCUUCCGCAAUGGACGAAAGUCUGACGGAGCAACGCCGCGUGAGUGAUGAAGGCUUUCGGGUCGUAAAACUCUGUUGUUAGGGAAGAACAAGUGCUAGUUGAAUAAGCUGGCACCUUGACGGUACCUAACCAGAAAGCCACGGCUAACUACGUGCCAGCAGCCGCGGUAAUACGUAGGUGGCAAGCGUUAUCCGGAAUUAUUGGGCGUAAAGCGCGCGCAGGUGGUUUCUUAAGUCUGAUGUGAAAGCCCACGGCUCAACCGUGGAGGGUCAUUGGAAACUGGGAGACUUGAGUGCAGAAGAGGAAAGUGGAAUUCCAUGUGUAGCGGUGAAAUG
rnacentral:rRNA from 1 species